UGUUAAUUCUCCUAACCUGCUACGGUAAUUCUCCUAACCUACUAUGUAAACAUUAAGUUGACCCGCUGUGCACCUGACUAUGGCCGGUGAUGUUAUACCCAUCGCUGUUGAUCCACCCACUGAUGUUACACACAUCGCUGUUGAUCCACCCACUGAUGUUACACACAUCGCUGUUGAUCCACCCACUGAUGUUANUUACACACAUCGCUGUUGAUCCACCCACUGAUGUUACACACAUCGCUGUUGAUCCACCCACUGAUGUUACACACAUCGCUGUUGAUCCACCCACUUCUUUUGCAACGYCCACUUUCAGACCCACUCCAAGUAUGGAUUACCCAUACUUGCUGUCAUUCUCUACAUACUUCAGUCUGAGACUGCCAUCAUUGAAGUUGUUUGUGGUGACGAUAGGCACAAGGGGCAUUGUACAAAACAAAAUAAUCAGCGAUUGGAUCGUCUGUAAUCAGUCAAAGCCAAUGACAAAUUUUCAAACCCACAUGUGUUCUAGCUCUGGCUAAACCCAUCGGUUUCUGAACCAAUCAGACAGUCCCGAAUGUGUUCACAUUGGGAGACGGGUUGGGGAGGUACUYAGAUCCAAACUUAUUGCAGAGAAGAAACUAACGUUCKUGGGCGUGGCGUAGUGUUUGGCCAGAGCAAGGAGUGUGGGUAGCCAGGCAAGUAUUUUAUAGGACUGCCUUGUAAUUGCCCUCAAACUCAAAGAAUGAAUGCAAUGCAAUGAAUCUGUAAACACUUCCUAAGGGCAAAUAGUUAUCAUAUAUUUUAAUAGCAGGGAGMUACAAGUCACCACAAAUAGGUGUGAACAUGUACCUUUAUCAAGCAUGUUAUUUAAGAAUAGCAACAAUAGCGACCAUAGUGGGGAAAAAACAUGUUAGAUUGUUUAGUCGUUUAAAUGUCAAUCAAUGUGUCAUCAUGUCAUGCCACAUUUAUUUUUCCUAAUCACUUAUCAAAUACAUCUCUGUACACUAAUCCUCAACAGAUAUUUUCUCCCCACAGCUACUGUACAAGGUGUCAGCAUGUUCACUGCUGAUGGAUUCCUGUUUCUCCAAUGGGGGUUUCUGAUGGCCACAACACUGUGUUGACAGAAGUGACAGAACCUUGGCGAGGGACAGCAAACAGCACCAGGACAGAGACCAACAGGCACUGACUAGUGUCAAACACAGCCACCGAUGUGGAGGGAUCAAUUCCCCUGCCGGACUCACUAAGACUGAUUGUUCAAGGGGACAUAAUGACUGCUGCCAAAUGGAUGAUWAGCAUCGAGAAGGAGGUCGUGAUGACGGUUCACUCAAACUUUGUGGAAGCGCUGGCAGCUUUUUUUUGCCUCAUUCCACACCUUCAAUCUGCAAUACCAAGAGGAGGCUUCACGCACCCUAAAGUUCAUCCAAAGAUGUUUUGCUGGAAUCAAUGCAUCCACUGGCUCGAAGACCGCCACAGCAGAGGUCUUCAGCAAGAAAAGCGGAAAGGUAGUGGAGAAGAAGAGCCACACAAUGAAUGUGUCUGUACUCUGCUCGGGAAGAUAAUGGACUAUAAGCUAUAGGCUAGUUCCUAUUGGCCAUACAUUUAAUUUAUUUUAGUCAAUUGUGACCUGCUCAAGUACGUUUGGUUUGUCACUGGGGUUGGCUCUUUUUUUGUGUUUAACACCUUUAAGUGUUUGAAAAUGAUCCAGUAUGCACUGAAAUUGACACAUUGAUGAGGAAGUAAUGCUACUCUGGAUGUUUGGAAAUGUCUGGCAUUUACUCGAAAGUUGAGUAGGCAAUCCUUAUUAAAGCUUGAGCAUGUAGUUUUGGGAAGGGCAUAAUUAGAAAUCUGGGAAUUGGACAAAAUAUCCAUUGAUCUUUUCUGACCUUAAUCUCACAAUUAUAAAGUCUAAUGUCCCUUCCCAAAACGACAUACUCUGUGUUUAACCUGGGAGUGAAGGUAAUGACAAACCUAAGAUAAGGCCAGGCAGAGAGCAGGCCUACUAACCCUAUUGAGAUAAGAAUGGACAUGUCGAGCGGUAAGCCUAAUGAAGCCGACUGUAGACGAAAGUCGGUGAGUGAAGUUGGGGUAGGUACAUCUGCGACAGCCAAAAGUCAGACACUGUAGUGGUUUUCCAAAAGCAAGGCCCAGAUCAACAUGGCAGUGUCAACAUAGCUGCUAGUGUUUAUAAAAUAAAUUAUGUAAAAACAUUGAAAUAAACAUUUCUAUACCCGCAUAUCACACACUCAAGAACUGAAAACUAACGUUUGAACAAUAUUGGUUAGAGAGAGAUCUCAAAUGUAACUUUCAUUUGUAUACUCUGAAGCUUUAGAAUUACGGCGAAGUAGGCUCCUGUUUCAGUCACAUCUUUGGCCACAUUUGUUUGUGUGGGUCAAACAAAAACACCCUAAUGAUAGGUUGACAAAUAGUGCCUCCCCACAACGCAGGCCAUGGCUGCAUGAUGAAGUUGUUGAAGUACAACUACAGAAACUUGCAGUCAAAACUUCAUGAACUUUGAUCACAUGAUUUUUGCCAWGUGCAUGCAGUCGAAAUGUAGGUGCAAGUCAGAUUUUUUUUCUUCCCAUAAUGCAACACACUUUGAACAGCACCGACUUGACAAAAGUGAUCUGCUCGAACAUGCCCAGACUUCAGUUUUAGAAUAGCCAGAGGAUAGCGCAUGUCCCCCUGCAAGUAGAUACUUGAUUUUGAAAAUCAUUUUGAAAUAUUAUUUUUUUAACUACUUUUGUCAGUCAUUAUUUAUGUAAAUAGCUGUUAAAGGUAUGUUCAGUGCACUUUGGCAUGUCCUCUUCAAAGUUGCGUGUGAGCUCAACUACCAGAAGCGUCUGCAUGCGUCCUGACUCCUGUGGGAAUGACAUGCCACAUGUCUGCCUUAUCAUCUCCUCUAGUUGCCUCCUGUGUCCUCAUCUGAGAGGACUUAGGGGAGUUGAAAAGGACUGACUGCAUUCAGCAGUGCAGCUGUUUGUAUUGUCAGUCAGAGCCUAACCAAGGGAUCAGAGGUAAAUUCCAGUCCCACUGCUGAAUGUUCUAUUCUCAGAGGCACAGAGAGACAAAUACAUGAAUUGUUUUUGGUCAUCACCAAGGACAGGAUAGUGGUUGGAUAAGCAAAGUUAUUUAUUUUGAGAAUUAUACUGGUCAUAUUUAUGCUUAUAUUUUGACAGUGAUGUGUUCUUCAAGGUACUGUAUGUUUGUGGCCCAAUUUAUGGAUACAAAGUUGAAAUUUAACAUCCCGAAUACCCCAUAUUUUUGAUUAGAUGUUUGUGUUUGUUUUUUUAUCUCGCUCUCUGUUGUCUCAAUUCCCUUAUAGACCUUUUGGGCAUCCAUUCUUUCUGUGAACAUAGAACAAUUUAGUGAGUGUCAGAUGAAAACAAAGAGACAGGAAAAAGUAACAGGCUUAGUAAUAGAAUAGCUUGGGAUAACGACAGUGAGACAUCCAUUAAUACCAAGGGAGACAUAAGGAUGGAGCCCAGGGUAAAUAUUUUGGACGCAGGAGCCAUUAAGAAACAACUGGCAUUCUACAUAUUCUAGAUUGCGGACACAAUGACAAGAAUACUACAUCCAGAAAUUCACGAGCUGUGAUUUCAAAACAUACCCACAUGCAAUUUAAUGAUCAUGUGUAAUGCAGCUUUUGACCACAUAGUGGCAGUGAUGCCACAUCAAUAUAGGCCUAUUUAAGUUGCCUAGUUAUUCUAGGAUGAAUUGUAAGGACAUCAAGCCGCUCAACUCUGUUAAGUAGUGAAGGAGAAAGGGCGCAUGGGUCAUUCUCCGAAAAUAGUGGCUUUUUGACCAGCCAAUUAAAAAAAUAUAUAUAUAUUUUUAACCAAAACACAGUUUUUUUUUACUU